CAUUUCAACAUAGGGAAUGUUUGGUUUGGUGUAAGUGGAGGAGUGGAACUUAAGUUUCGUCACUUUCGGUAUUUAUUUUGUUAUAAGUUAAAAAAAUAAUAUAACUCAAGUUAUGUACGUUAGACCCCCACUUUGCCUAUUUUUUACUUUCUCCUCUAGAGUACCUAACUUAAGUCCCACCACACUUAAAAUUUUUCUAAACAUUUUAUUAGAUAUUAAAAUCUAAACUCUACUUUCUCUAGAAUGAAGUAAAGGUUUUUUUUUUUUUUUUUAAACAAUGGAUUAAUAUUACUUCCAAACAGCAAUAAGUGAUUUAAUUAUUUAAUAGGAUGGAUUUUAUAGGGAUAAGUUUACCACUAUAUUUUGGAGGUAACAGGAUCCACUUAUUUACACCAAAACAAAUAAUGAAACUAAAAAAACUAAUUUUUUCAGCAUCACAUUACACCAAAACAAAUAUAAGAAGUGAUUGAAUUUAAUUUUCAGGUUAUACAAGUUACAUCAAAAUAAACAACAAAAAGAUAAACACACUUCAGAGAAACUCAAACACCGUUAUCCUUGAAUUACAUUAGAUUUAGAGAUUCGUCUAUUCAAACUCUCAUAGUGAAACUAACCAAUGUUAUCAGUUGUGUCANUCACAUUACACCAAAACAAAUAUAAGAAGUGAUUGAAUUUAAUUUUCAGGUUAUACAAGUUACAUCAAAAUAAACAACAAAAAGAUAAACACACUUCAGAGAAACUCAAACACCGUUAUCCUUGAAUUACAUUAGAUUUAGAGAUUCGUCUAUUCAAACUCUCAUAGUGAAACUAACCAAUGUUAUCAGUUGUGUCACUCUGAUUCUUUCUUCAUUAAA
rnacentral:lncRNA from 1 species